GUUUAUCAAAAACAUUGGCCAUGUGAUAGAUAUCCUCAUAGAUGGUCCAUCCUGCCCCAUGACCCUAAAUAAUCCUAGUCUUAAAUGGCCGCGGUACCCUGACCGUGCAAAGGUAGCAUAAUCAUUUGCCUAUUAAUUGUAGGCUAGUAUAAUCGGACAAACGUAGGCUAAACUUUCCCUCUUAAGACCAUAAAAUCUUAUCUUCAAGUGAAGAAGCUUGAAUUCCCCCGUAGGACAAGAAGACCCUAUAGAGCUUUCACCCCCUAACUACUCCUUUAAGUAGCAUCGGGUUCGGUUGGGGCGACCGAGGAACAAUCUAAACAUCCUACAACCACUAGACCCACCAGUCCACAUAAAGACCCUAAAUCAAGAUCACAGAAUCCAUGCUACCUUAGGGAUAACAGGCUAAUUUUUCUUAAGAGCCCAUAUCAGCAGAAAAGUUUGGCACCUCGAUGUUGGCUUAGGAAUUCCCUAUAAUGCAGCAGUUAUUGAUAGAUGGUUUGUUCAACCAUUGAUAUCCUACGUGAUCUGAGUUCA
rnacentral:rRNA from 1 species